AUUGAACGCUGGCGGCAUGCCUUACACGUGCAAGUCGAACGGUAACAGGUCUUCGGAUGCUGACGAGUGGCGAACGGGUGAGUAAUACAUCGGAACGUGCCCGAUCGUGGGGGAUAACGAAGCGAAAGCUUUGCUAAUACCGCAUACGAUCUACGGAUGAAAGCAGGGGACCGCAAGGCCUUGCGCGAACGGAGCGGCCGAUGGCAGAUUAGGUAGUUGGUGGGAUAAAAGCUUACCAAGCCGACGAUCUGUAGCUGGUCUGAGAGGACGACCAGCCACACUGGGACUGAGACACGGCCCAGACUCCUACGGGAGGCAGCAGUGGGGAAUUUUGGACAAUGGGCGAAAGCCUGAUCCAGCCAUGCCGCGUGCAGGAUGAAGGCCUUCGGGUUGUAAACUGCUUUUGUACGGAACGAAAAGACUCUGGUUAAUACCUGGGGUCCGUGACGGUACCGUAAGAAUAAGCACCGGCUAACUACGUGCCAGCCGCCGCCGUAA
rnacentral:rRNA from 1 species